ACUAUUUUGGUCAUAUCAUAACGUUCCCAAUAUGACUGUAGCGAGACGUUCCAUGUUGGUUAUCCUGUGGUCACAUAAGAACGUUACAGAGAGGACAUUUGGAACAUUUACAGAACCAUCCUACAUGGUCCUCUGUUGGUCAUAUAAUAAUGUUCCAGAUAUGACUUUAGGGGGACGUCCCAUAUUGGUUAUUCUGUGGUCACAUGGCAAAGUUACAAAGAGGACAUUUGGAACAUUAAUAGAAUGUUCUCACAUGGUCCUCUGUUGGUCAUUUAAUAAUGUUCCUGAUAUCACUAGGAGGACAAAAUAUGAAAUUACAGUUAGAGCAUUUUAUUUUUAUAGGCAGUUAAUACAAAGGAUGUGUCAAUGUGCAGUGGACCAUACAAACAAAGUAAUAAAUAAAUGAUUUCAGAAUGAAGAAAAAUAAACGAGUGAUUCAGUCUGCGCUAUCCUACAUCAGACAAAGACAAAUAGCAAUUAAAUAAGACUUUACAUUAAAUUGUGUUAACAAGCACAAAAAUACUAGUAAGUAAUACUAUACUAAUAUGUAUUAUGUUGUACUCUCUGAAUAUGAUGAUGUAGAAUGCAAUGCAUCUUGGAAACAGUAGUCAGUUACCAGCAACAGCGUUCAAUCCGCUUUAUGAAAAGGACUACCUUACCCAUAAUGCUACAGCUUACAAGAGGACCCGGAAGUCGCAUGAAAUUCAAACUGCCACACUUGACGACGCGUGAUCUUUGUUUUGUCUUUAUAUAAUACUGUAAGAAGUCAUGUACCACAUAUUGUCAAACCUGAAGAAGUGUAUCUUCCUGCAAUCUGGGCUCCAGACCUGGAGAUUGAAGUUCCUAAAGGUUGAUGUUUAUCAAGCUUGUGACCUUAUUGCAUGGUGUUAUUUUUUUACAUUUAUAUAUCUAAUACACAUUUGCACAUCUGUAAACAUAAAUUUAAUAUUUUGUGGGUUAUUUUAAAAUUUUAUUUAACCAGUUGUUGUAUAUUGAAAUCUGUUAUUACAUGUUAUGCACUCCAACUGUAAAUGUUUUGUUUUAAUUGCAUCUUUAUUGUUUUAAACAAUUUAAUUAAUGUGGGUUUUUGUUAGCUUUUAUGUUAUUCUUGUAUUUUUUGGCUAUUUAUUUGUUUUUAUUAUCCUUCUGUUAAUUUGCCAGAUUUUGACCUUCUAUUUGUUUUUCCUGUAAUCUCACUUCAAUUAUUUUCUGUGUUUUUCAAUGAUACAUUUUUGUCACAGUCCCAAUUUGUUCCUGCUUGUUUCUCCAUGUUUCCCCGUUCAUCAUCCAUUUGGACUUCAUUUCCCAUAAUCCUUUUCACUCUCUCACCUGAACUGUGUUUGUUAUUAUCCUCACCUGACAGUCAUCCCCCUCAUCACUCCAUUGUCUAAAUACCCCACUUUUCCGUUUGUCUAGGUCAGUUCUUGUUUAUAGUGAUGUGUUGUGUGUUUUGCUGUACCAGUUUCCAUGUUCCUUGUUUUAUAUUAAUUAAAGAUUAUCAUUUUGGAUUCAUCAUGAUCUCCAUCUCCUCCUUUAUCUUCCACCACACCAACCGUAUCAAUUUCACAGUAUAAUUAUAUAUUGUUUGAGUUAUGGCUAUUUUCUGUCUUAAAUGUUCUGGGAACUUUACUAGGCAAUGUCCUUAACACCAGUGG